UACAGAGGGGGCAAGCGUUAUUCGGAAUUAUUGGGCGUAAAGGCGCGUAGGCGGCCUGACAAGUGGAAGGUGAAAUCCCUCGGCUUAACCGAGGAACUGCCCUCCAAACUGUUUGGCUUGAGACCGGGAGAGGUGAGUGGAAUUCCCAGUGUAGCGGUGAAAUGCGUAGAUAUUGGGAGGAACACCAGUGGCGAAGGCGGCUCACUGGACCGGUACUGACGCUGAGGAGCGAAAGCGUGGGGAGCGAACGAG
rnacentral:rRNA from 1 species